GGGCUCGUAGGGUAGCGGAUAUCCUCGGGGGCUUCGGACCCCCGGACCCGGGUUCAACUCCCGGCGAGUCCG
rnacentral:tRNA from 1 species